GGGUUGUGAGGUUAAGCGACUAAGCGUACACGGUGGAUGCCCUGGCAGUCAGAGGCGAUGAAGGGCGUGCUAAUCUGCGAUAAGCGCCGGUAAGGUGAUAUGAACCGUUAUAACCGGCGAUACCCGAAUGGGGAAACCCAGUGUGAUUCGUCACACUAUCAUUAACUGAAUCCAUAGGUUAAUGAGGCGAACCGGGGGAACUGAAACAUCUAAGUACCCCGAGGAAAAGAAAUCAACCGAGAUUCCCCCAGUAGCGGCGAGCGAACGGGGAGGAGCCCAGAGCCUGAAUCAGCAUGUGUGUUAGUGGAAGCGUCUGGAAAGGCGCGCGAUACAGGGUGACAGCCCCGUACACAAAAGCGCAUGUGCUGUGAGCUCGAUGAGUAGGGCGGGACACGUGGUAUCCUGUCUGAAUAUGGGGGGACCAUCCUCCAAGGCUAAAUACUCCUGACUGACCGAUAGUGAACCAGUACCGUGAGGGAAAGGCGAAAAGAACCCCGGCGAGGGGAGUGAAAAAGAACCUGAAACCGUGUACGUACAAGCAGUGGGAGCACAGGUUUACCUGUGUGACUGCGUACCUUUUGUAUAAUGGGUCAGCGACUUAUAUUCUGUAGCAAGGUUAACCGUAUAGGGGAGCCGGAGGGAAACCGAGUCUUAACCGGGCGUUAAGUUGCAGGGUAUAGACCCGAAACCCGGUGAUCUAGCCAUGGGCAGGUUGAAGGUUGGGUAACACUAACUGGAGGACCGAACCGACUAAUGUUGAAAAAUUAGCGGAUGACCUGUGGCUGGGGGUGAAAGGCCAAUCAAACCGGGAGAUAGCUGGUUCUCCCCGAAAGCUAUUUAGGUAGCGCCUCGUGAAUUCAUCUCCGGGGGUAGAGCACUGUUUCGGCUAGGGGGCCAUCCCGGCUUACCAACCCGAUGCAAACUGCGAAUACCGGAGAAUGUUAUCACGGGAGACACACGGCGGGUGCUAACGUCCGUCGUGAAGAGGGAAACAACCCAGACCGCCAGCUAAGGUCCCAAAGUCAUGGUUAAGUGGGAAACGAUGUGGGAAGGCCCAGACAGCCAGGAUGUUGGCUUAGAAGCAGCCAUCAUUUAAAGAAAGCGUAAUAGCUCACUGGUCGAGUCGGCCUGCGCGGAAGAUGUAACGGGGCUAAACCAUGCACCGAAGCUGCGGCAGCGACACUUAUGUGUUGUUGGGUAGGGGAGCGUUCUGUAAGCCUGUGAAGGUGUGUCGUGAGGCAUGCUGGAGGUAUCAGAAGUGCGAAUGCUGACAUAAGUAACGAUAAAGCGGGUGAAAAGCCCGCUCGCCGGAAGACCAAGGGUUCCUGUCCAACGUUAAUCGGGGCAGGGUGAGUCGACCCCUAAGGCGAGGCCGAAAGGCGUAGUCGAUGGGAAACGGGUUAAUAUUCCCGUACUUGGUGUUACUGCGAAGGGGGGACGGAGAAGGCUAUGUUGGCCGGGCGACGGUUGUCCCGGUUUAAGCGUGUAGGCUGGUUUUCCAGGCAAAUCCGGAAAAUCAAGGCUGAGGCGUGACGACGAGGCACUACGGUGCUGAAGCAACAAAUGCCCUGCUUCCAGGAAAAGCCUCUAAGCAUCAGGUAACAUCAAAUCGUACCCCAAACCGACACAGGUGGUCAGGUAGAGAAUACCAAGGCGCUUGAGAGAACUCGGGUGAAGGAACUAGGCAAAAUGGUGCCGUAACUUCGGGAGAAGGCACGCUGACACGUAGGUGAAGUGAUUUACUCAUGGAGCUGAAGUCAGUCGAAGAUACCAGCUGGCUGCAACUGUUUAUUAAAAACACAGCACUGUGCAAACACGAAAGUGGACGUAUACGGUGUGACGCCUGCCCGGUGCCGGAAGGUUAAUUGAUGGGGUCAGCGCAAGCGAAGCUCCUGAUCGAAGCCCCGGUAAACGGCGGCCGUAACUAUAACGGUCCUAAGGUAGCGAAAUUCCUUGUCGGGUAAGUUCCGACCUGCACGAAUGGCGUAAUGAUGGCCAGGCUGUCUCCACCCGAGACUCAGUGAAAUUGAACUCGCUGUGAAGAUGCAGUGUACCCGCGGCAAGACGGAAAGACCCCGUGAACCUUUACUAUAGCUUGACACUGAACAUUGAGCCUUGAUGUGUAGGAUAGGUGGGAGGCUUUGAAGCGUGGACGCCAGUCUGCGUGGAGCCGACCUUGAAAUACCACCCUUUAAUGUUUGAUGUUCUAACGUGGACCCGUAAUCCGGGUUGCGGACAGUGUCUGGUGGGUAGUUUGACUGGGGCGGUCUCCUCCUAAAGAGUAACGGAGGAGCACGAAGGUUGGCUAAUCCUGGUCGGACAUCAGGAGGUUAGUGCAAUGGCAUAAGCCAGCUUGACUGCGAGCGUGACGGCGCGAGCAGGUGCGAAAGCAGGUCAUAGUGAUCCGGUGGUUCUGAAUGGAAGGGCCAUCGCUCAACGGAUAAAAGGUACUCCGGGGAUAACAGGCUGAUACCGCCCAAGAGUUCAUAUCGACGGCGGUGUUUGGCACCUCGAUGUCGGCUCAUCACAUCCUGGGGCUGAAGUAGGUCCCAAGGGUAUGGCUGUUCGCCAUUUAAAGUGGUACGCGAGCUGGGUUUAGAACGUCGUGAGACAGUUCGGUCCCUAUCUGCCGUGGGCGCUGGAGAACUGAGGGGGGCUGCUCCUAGUACGAGAGGACCGGAGUGGACGCAUCACUGGUGUUCGGGUUGUCAUGCCAAUGGCACUGCCCGGUAGCUAAAUGCGGAAGAGAUAAGUGCUGAAAGCAUCUAAGCACGAAACUUGCCCCGAGAUGAGUUCUCCCUGAGACUUAGAGUCUCCUGAAGGAACGUUGAAGACGACGACGUUGAUAGGCCGGGUGUGUAAGCGCAGCGAUGCGUUGAGCUAACCGGUACUAAUGAACCGUGAGGCUUAACCUUACAACGCCGAAG
rnacentral:rRNA from 3 species